rnacentral:rRNA from 1 species
UACGUAGGGUGCAAGCGUUGUCCGGAUUUAUUGGGCGUAAAGAGCUCGUAGGCGGCUUAGAAAGUCAGGUGUGAAAACUCUGGGCUCAACCCAGAGACGCCACUUGAUACUUCUAUGGCUUGAGUUCGGUAGGGGACCAUGGAAUUCCUGGUGUAGCGGUGAAAUGCGCAGAUAUCGGGAGGAACACCAGUAGCGAAGGCGGCACUCUGGGCCGGUACUGACGCUGAGGAGCGAAAGCGUGGGGAGCAAACAGG